AGCUUUGCGCAGUGGCAGUAUCGUAGCCAAUGAGGUUUAUCCGAGGCGCGAUUAUUGCUAAUUGAAAACAAAAUCAUUAGCCAUCAGGGAACUUCAAAUCAAAACCACACUGAGAUACCAACUUACGCCAGUUAGAAUGGCAAAAAUUGACAAGGCAAGAAACAAUUGCU
ensembl:snRNA U4 U4 spliceosomal RNA